ensembl:lncRNA LINC01055 long intergenic non-protein coding RNA 1055
AGUGGUGUGCAGGCCCCCUGCACUGAUCCUGAGUGGCCACCUAGACCAGGGUGUCCAGAGGCUCGACUAUAGGGUUCCUUCUUCUCCACCAUGGCACUUCAGGCUCCCUUGGCACUUCUCUUUUGGGAAAAUAAAUUGCUUCUGGAUUAGACAUCUUUCUGUUGCUGUUGCUUGAGACAGGGUCUCACUCUGUCACCCAGGCUGGAGUGCAAUGGCACAAUCAUGAUUCACUGCAGCCUCGACUUACUGGACUCAAGUGAUCUUCCCGCCGCAGCCCCCGAGGUAGCUGGGACUACAGGGUCUUACUCUGUCACCCAGGCUGGAGUGCAGUGGCAUAAUCUUGGCUCACUGCAGCCCCAACAUCCCCGGCUCAAGCAAUCCUCCCGCCUCAGCCUCCUAAGUAGCUGGGACCACAGAAACCCAAACUGCAGAACAUGUUCAGUGAAGCAACCAGAGCUAAAUCAUUUGAAAUGCAUUAGCCAGUACUCGCCGCAAAUUAAUUUAACACCAGUCACAUGUGUCUGGGUGAUUUUCCCCUGAAAGGUGGCGUGAGUUGAUUGGACCCCAGGAGGAACGCUGCGCUGAAUGGCUCAAGAUUUACUACUAACCACACACUGCACAGAGAAGGCUGCGUGUUACCAAGGCCUCCAUGGAAUUAGGGGGAACUGCCAACAAACCAGUGCAGAGCCUGCAAAUGUCAGAUAGAAGGAGGAUGAGACAUGAUUUGGAUAUUUUUCCAAGAAGGAAAGACUCAGUUCAUUUAGAAGAGUUUCCUUAAGGAUAAAGGAAGUAUCCAGAACCUACUCUAAGAAAGGGAAAUGGCUUCAUGCUUUCCUCUCCCAUUCCCAUACCUGCAGGAAAAUCAGAUUUCCUCAUGGUCCUGUCGUUUUCUCAGGCCUGAGAGGAGGGACACUUCACCACCGCCCCCCUCCCCACCCCCGCCCCAAUCUCAGUGGGUUUAGCAAGACAAGAAGCAGACUCCAGCUUUGGAGAGAUGGGUAGGAGACGCAUUUGGCCUGGUUCAGCUACUACUUUAGAUGUAGAUCUUGAACAAGUUUCAAAAAUGAAUGAAAGUAGCUUUUUAUGAAUCUGGGCCCGAUCUCCCGAUUGCCCCUCCAGAGCAGCUCCCUGCCCUUCCCUGCCCCUGAAGGCUGACCUGUGAGCCCCUUUGGGCUGCUGAUGGACCUGUGCUCCCACCCUGGCUCAAAAAGCAAAGAAAAGGGAGUGGCUAUCAGAAAAUGGAAGAAGAGAGUAAAGAAGACAGUGCUGGCUUGAGAGAAGCAGUGGCUUCAGGUAAAAGGCUACUGCCAGCGAUAUGGACGGGAGACAGAGAAAUGCUAGAAGAGGGCGGUUCCCCAACAAAGGCCCCACCCACAAGCCUGGACACCUGUGGCCCUAAAUGAGAACAGGCAUUCCUGUUUUUGCACCCAAAAAGUGGUCUUUUGGUAUGCCACACCCCCUAUCCUAUACCCAUAUAAACCCUGAACCCCAGGCUCCAGCUCAGACCAGCAGAGGAGGAGACGAGACAAGCAGACAAUGCAGAACAGUGCAGCAGAGAGAACUCGAGAGGAAUUCAGCCAGGGUGGUCAGAGAGGAGUUUGGCUGCUGGACAGCCCACUCCAAGGGAAGAUCAUCUUCCUACUCCAUCUCCCCUCCUUCCAGCUCCCUAUCCAUCCUGCCGAGAGCCACCUCCACCGUGCAUUAAAACCUCGCAUUCAUCCUUCAA